AAAGCAAAAAAUAAAGCAAAAAAUAAAGCAAAAAAUAAAACAAAAAAUAAAACAAAAAACAAAACAAAAAAUUAAGCAAAAAAUUAAGCAAAAAAUUAAGCAAAAAGUAAAGCAAAAAAUAAAACAAGGUAAAUUUUUGUAAAAAUUUAUUAUUAACGCAAUUAAAAAAAACCAUUAUUCAUAAAUAAAUUACAAACAAGAAUAUUAUGUGACAUCAUUUUACAUAAACACAUAUGUGUGUGUUAUAUGCAGCGUAAAAAAUAAAGUUACUAUUAUAAGCUAUAAAAAAAAUAAACAAAAAAUACCUUUUAUAGUUGCAUUAAAAAUUAAAAAAAGUGCAACAAAGGGAGUAAUAAAAAAUAAUAAAAAUAAUAUUUUUUUCUUUUUAAAUAAACCUAAACCCUAUUUUUUUAAAACUAUUACCAGUGGUAAUAACAGUAAUAGCAAUAAUAAGAACAAAAGCAGUAAUAACACCUAUUUGUGUUUAAAAAGGAAUAGUACAGUUUGUGCUAGUAAAGGUAGUAGUAAAAAAAAAAAAUAUAUUUUUUCGUUGAAUAGCCAAAAAUGUAGUGGAUAUCGAAAUACAAGAGAAGGUAAAGAAGAAACUGUUCGUAAAAUAAAAAGAAUUUUAAAAGUAACAAAACUAUUGAUCCAAUUAAAUAGUUUUAAAUUAACACCGAAUUUAAGAGUUGAUUUAUUAAUAAAUAUGCCCAGACCACAUGUACGUAUGCAUAUGGUUAAAAAUACUUUAAUGAAAUUAGCAAUAAAAAAUACUCCAUUUGAAGCCAUUAGUCCAUAUUUAAAAGAAAGUAAUGUAUAUUUAUUUAUUAUGAAUGAAAAUUAUAUAUCCUUUUGUCUUUAUAAAAAUAAAAUGUUCAGUUCAUUAUAUAAAGAAUAUAAAAUUAACAAUUUCAUAAAAGUUGCUAUUUAUGAAAAUACAAUUUUAAAUAAAAAAGAAACAGAAGAUCUUAUAAAUUUAAAAACAUACAAUUAUUAUUUGGGACAUGUCGUAAAUAAAAUUAAUAACUUAAUAACGAGUAUACCCAAUUCUAUUAUACAAAUACCUUCUGCUAUAGCUAGGGGAAUAUAUUUACACACUCAAAAGUGAAGCAACAAAUAGGGGCUCAAAAAAAAAAAAAAAAAAUGUAUAUGUGCUUACAUUCGUGGAUGUGCUUACAUUUAUGUAUACAUAUGUAUUUACGUUCAUGCUUUAUUCUUAUUAUUAAAUAUGCUUAGUCUAUAUAAAAAUGUAAAUUGUCACUUGACAAUAUUACACAAUUUCUGUUUAUUUUUAUUUUUAUUUUUUUGUUUUUGUUUUUUUAACAGUUAUUUUAAUACCUUACAGAACAGAAGUUUUAAUACAUAAUUGAUAAAAAAAUAUGUUAAUAUAAAACACUUUAAUAUAAAAUACUUUAAUAUAAAACACUUUAAUAUAAAAUACUUUAAUAUAAAAU
rnacentral:lncRNA from 1 species